CUUUCGCUCAUGGUCAAGCCUCUUCUUUGGGAAGGGGUGAGGGUAGUGGGUAAAGAAGCGCCGGCUAACUACGUGCCAGCAGCCGCGGUAAUACGUAGGGCGCGAGCGUUGUCCGGAAUUAUUGGGCGUAAAGGGCUUGUAGGCGGUUGAUUGCGUCUGCCGUGAAAUCCUCUGGCUUAACUGGGGGCGUGCGGUGGGUACGGGUUGGCUUGAGUGCGGUAGGGGAGACUGGAAUUCCUGGUGUAGCGGUGGAAUGCGCAGAUAUCAGGAGGAACACCGGUGGCGAAGGCGGGUCUCUGGGCCGUUACUGACGCUGAGGAGCGAAAGC
rnacentral:rRNA from 1 species